rnacentral:rRNA from 1 species
UACGUAGGGGGCAAGCGUUGUCCGGAAUCAUUGGGCGUAAAGAGCGUGUAGGCGGCCCGAUAAGUCCGCCGUGAAAGUCCAGGGCUCAACCCUGGAAUGCCGGUGGAAACUGUCGGGCUAGAGUCCGGAAGAGGCGAGUGGAAUUCCUGGUGUAGCGGUGAAAUGCGCAGAUAUCAGGAGGAACACCAAUGGCGAAGGCAGCUCGCUGGGACGGUACUGACGCUGAGGCGCGAAGGCGUGGGGAGCGAACGGG